CAGCAGCCGCGGGAAUACAGAGGGUGCGAGCGUUACUCGGAAUUACUGGGCGUAAAGCGUGCGUAGGUGGUGGUUUAAGUCCGUUGUGAAAGCCCUGGGCUCAACCUGGGAAUUGCAGUGGAUACUGGGUCACUAGAGUGUGGUAGAGGAUAGUGGAAUUUCCGGUGUAGCAGUGAAAUGCGUAGAGAUCGGAAGGAACAUCUGUGGCGAAGGCGACUAUCUGGGCCAACACUGACACUGAGGCACGAAAGCGUGGGGAGCAAACAGGAUUAGAUACCCGUGUAGUCCCUGUCUCUUAUAC
rnacentral:rRNA from 1 species